rnacentral:rRNA from 1 species
AUUGAACGCUGGCGGCAGGCCUAACACAUGCAAGUCGAGCGGAUGAAGGGAGCUUGCUCCUGGAUUCAGCGGCGGACGGGUGAGUAAUGCCUAGGAAUCUGCCUGGUAGUGGGGGAUAACGUCCGGAAACGGGCGCUAAUACCGCAUACGUCCUGAGGGAGAAAGUGGGGGAUCUUCGGACCUCGCGCUAUCAGAUGAGCCUAGGUCGGAUUAGCUAGUUGGUGGGGUAAAGGCCUACCAAGGCGACGAUCCGUAACUGGUCUGAGAGGAUGAUCAGUCACACUGGAACUGAGACACGGUCCAGACUCCUACGGGAGGCAGCAGUGGGGAAUAUUGGACAAUGGGCGAAAGCCUAAUCCAGCCAUGCCGCGUGUGUGAAGAAGGUCUUCGGAUUGUAAAGCACUUUAAGUUGGGAGGAAGGGCAGUAAGUUAAUACCUUGCUGUUUUGACGUUACCAACAGAAUAAGCACCGGCUAACUUCGUG